UUUCCAUAGGUGAACCUGCGGAAGGAUCAUUAAUGAGUUGUCAUGGGGUUCGAUGCUGGCAGCCAGUUUUUGGAUGCAUGUGCUUGCCCUAACAAUCAUCUUCUUCCAAACACCUGUGCACAUUUUUGAGGGAGCCUUGAGUUGGUUGCCGCUCUUGGGUGAUUUUCUCACAUUCCCUUAAAUCAUUAUACGCUAUUAACAAUGUUGAACGUGCUCUGUGCCGCAAGGCCAUUAAUAUAAUACAACUUUUAACAACGGAUCUCUUGGCUCUC
rnacentral:misc_RNA from 1 species